rnacentral:lncRNA from 1 species
GUAUUUGGCAUUUUAAUGACAAACAUUUUGCUAGAGUAACAACGGAAGACACACUUCCCCAACAGAACAUUUCUUCUAUACAUUAUCGACAUCAUUUCUCACUUGAAAAUACCAUGACACAAUUACUCUUCAGAUAUAAAUAAACGCACAGUAAUUCUGGACACCAUCAUAAAACAUUUGCAAGCCUUAGAGUUUGUAAGUU